rnacentral:tRNA from 1 species
AUCCGCUGGCCUUAGGUGCCACCAAUCUUGGUGCAAAUCCAAGUAGAAGCU